rnacentral:rRNA from 1 species
UUAGAUAUAAAUAAAUUUUAUUUACCUGAGUACUACGAGUCGCAACUUAAAACUCAAAGAGCUUGGCGGUGCCUUAGACUUAUCAGGGGAACCUGUCUCAUAACCGACAAUCCACGAAUCAACCUCACCUUUAUUUGCAAUCAGUAUGUAUACCGUCGUCGCCAGGUAACUUUUAAAAAUAUAAAAGUUAGCAAAGAAACUAUUAAGUUUUUACGUCAGAUCAAGGUGCAGCUUAUAUAAAGGAGAUGAUGGGUUACAAUUAAAAAUUAUAAUCACGGACGUCGAUCUUAAUAGAUCUUCAGAAGGAGGACUUGAAAGUAAAAGCUAGCAGUCAAAUGUUUUGAAUCAAGCUCUGAGGCG